rnacentral:rRNA from 1 species
UACAGAGGUGGCAAGCGUUGUUCGGAAUUACUGGGCGUAAAGGGCGCGUAGGCGGUUCGUUAAGUCCUGUGUGAAAUCCCCCGGCUCAACUGGGGAACUGCACAGGAAACUAGCGGGCUUGAGUUCGGGAGAGGGAAGCGGAAUUCCGGGUGUAGCGGUGAAAUGCGUAGAUAUCGGGAGGAACACCGGUGGCGAAGGCGGC